AUGUUUAACUUGUUGUCCACAAGGACUCCUAGAUCUUUUUCACACGUACUGCUGUCGAGCCCCCAUUCUGUAUCUUUGCAUUCCAUUUUUUCUGCCAAAGUGAAGUAUCUUGCAUUUGUCCCUGUUGAACUUCAUUUUGGCAGAAAAAAUGGAAAUCAAAGAUACAGAAUGGGGGACGCCUGGCUUGACAGCAGUGUGUGCGAAAAAGACCUUGGAGUCCUUGUGGACAACAAGUUAAACAUGAGCCAACAAUGUGAUGCGGCUGCUAAAAAAGCCAAUGGGAUUCUUGCCUGCAUCAAUAGGGGAAUAGCGUCUAGAUCCAGGGAAGUUAUGCUCCCCCUCUAUUCUGCCCUGGUCAGACCACACCUGGAAUACUGUGUCCAAUUUUGGGCACCACAGUUGAAGGGAGAUGUUGACAAGCUGGAAAGCGUCCAGAGGAGGGCGACUAAAAUGAUUAAGGGUCUGGAGAACAAGCCCUAUGAGGAGCGGCUUAAAGAGCUGGGCAUGUUUAGCCUGCAGAAGAGAAGGCUGAGAGGAGACAUGAUAGCUAUGUGCAAAUACGUGAAGGGAAGUCAUAGGGAGGAGGGAGCAAGCUUGUUUUCUGCCGCCCUGCAGACUAGGACAUGGAACAAUGGCUUCAAACUACAGGAAAGGAGAUUCCACCUGAACAUCAGGAAGAACUUCCUCACUGUGAGAGCUGUUCGACAGUGGAACUCUCUCCCCGGGGCCGUGUUAGAGGCUCCUUCUUUGGAGGCUUUUAAGCAGAGGCUGGAUGGCCAUCUGUCGGGGGUGCUUUGAAUGCGAUUUCCUGCUUCUUAGCAGGGGGUUGGACUAGAUGGCCCAUGUGGUCUCUUCCAACUCUACUAUUCUAUGAUUCUAUGAUUCUAUGAUUCUAUGACAUGCUAGGAAAGAGGACUUCACUUGACAGUGAAAGAAGGGUGAAAGGGGAGCUAGGGUAACCUUCCCAGGGAGCGAAUUCCAGAGCAUAGGGGCAGCUAUGGAGAAGACCCCUUCUCAUGUCCUCAUUAACUUUGCCAGAGAAGGUGA
rnacentral:lncRNA from 1 species